AUCAGCGGCGCGCAGGCCUGUGGUUUUCUCGCUCUCGCAACCCUGCUUUAACUGCCGGUUUAUUUUUCGACAAACAGGAUGCUUCCAUCUGAGGCUGUCAGCAUCCCAGGCUCUUUGACAGAAAAAGAGGAACUGUCUCCUUGAAUCAACUAGUCUUACUCCAGACAAAUGGCCAGACUGCUAAACUGACAACUCAACUACCCGGUUGGGAAGAAAGGCUUAGUCAUGGUUUCCCCCAACUCCCACCCCCAACCAGCCUAUCACCAUCCUCUUGAGAAUGGGUGAUUCUGAUGCCCUGUAGAGAGAGCCCCUCCAUUUGAACCUGGCUCCCUCCUUGACCAGAAGCCUCACCGCAGGUUCCCUCAUCUGUGCAUGCCACGCCCCCCGAAUAAAAAGAGGAUUAGCAAUGAGUCGACCUACUCACAGGUUUCUGUGAAGGAUUUAACGAGGUGACACAAGGGAAAGCUGGACACAGUGCAGGGGCUGGCGCAGAGCACACGCUCA